rnacentral:rRNA from 1 species
AACGAACGCUGGCGGCAGGCCUAACACAUGCAAGUCGAGCGAGCAGUUCGGUGCUAGCGGCGGACGGGGGAGUAACGCGUGGGAAGUUGCCCUUUUCUGCGGAAUAGUCCUGGGAAACAGGGGGUAAUACCGCAUACGCCCUUUUGGGGAAAGAUUUAUCGGUGUAGGAUCGGCCCGGGUUGGAUUAGGUAGUUGGGGGGGGAAUGGCCCACCAAGCCGACGAUCCAUAGCUGGUUGGAGAGGAUGAUCAGCCACACUGGGACUGAGACACGGCCCAGACUCCUACGGGAAGCAGCAGUGGGGAAUCUUAGACAAUGGGGGCAACCCUGAUCUAGCCAUGCCGCGUGAGUGAUGAAGGCCUUAGGGUUGUAAAGCUCUUUCAGCUGGGAAGAUAAUGACGGUACCAGCAGAAGAAGCCCCGGCUAACUCCGUG